AGAGAGAUUCUCACCCGAGGAUUGGCUCGUCAGGAUCUCCUAAUCCUGCGCUCAAGCACCGGGACAGAGAGCUAACGGGCCUGGAUGGCCACCCGGGUUCUCUCGGCACCCUAGGCAUGACCAUCAGUCCGUGGGGAAACAGCACUCACACCCACAGCUCCACAGCAGCAUCCAACGCUAGCCUCAGUCACAACAACAGCUCAGGAUCCCUCCCCGGGGAGAUGGAUGAGACGGAUGCUCUCCGCUCCAAACGCUGCAACGAAGACGCCAUUUCCCUCGCUCCCUCCACCACCGAGUCCAUCAUCGUCGAAGGUGAGU